AAUCCCGCUGCGAAUAGCGACAGCAUUUAUGUCAAGAGCAGCCAACAUUUCUGGCCAGCAUUGGGAGGUGCUGUGAAUCAGUUUGCCAACAUUUCCUUUGUCUUUUGUUUCAUCGAGCGAGGCGUGGCCAGCAAUACUGGCCACCAAGCCCCCACUAAAAUCUGGGUAAUACUUGACUAUCCUACCAAGUGCCAUUUGGGCCGCCUGUGUUGGGGGUUUUCCCUGACGCAUGUACUCCACUGCUACAAGACUGCAGUUGAUAAAACAAUGAGCUACUUGCUGCAUAAUGGAAUAAGAUUUACAGGGAAAUGUGCACAGAGGAAACUACUCCCAGGGAUUGAAAUAACAAACAAUUGUGCUGCAUUGUUCAGGGUAAUCCAGUUUAUAUUAAAACAACAAGUUUUCCAA